GAUAACUGCACAGUCUCAAGGAAGGAGCGCGACAUGUCUAGAGAAGCAUUUCUUCUAAUGGCUUGCAUUCAUUCAUGCAAGGGAAAAUGGGAUCUUAAUAUGCCCAUUGAUAUCUUGCGUGGGUCUCGAGCGAAAAAGAUUCUCGAUGCUCAGUUUGAUAAGCUUCCCCUUCAUGGACUUGGAAAAACUUACGCACCAAACUGGUGGAAAGCACUCGGGCAUCAAUUGAUCGCUCAUGGUUAUUUGAAGGAAACUGUCAGUGAUGUGUACAGAACUAUAAGCUAGGUUAUUCAAGUUAUUGGGUAGACUACAUUAAUUAUUUAAAUUCCAUUAAUGAAACUUUUUAUUGUGCGCUGAUGUUUCUCCAGAUCUUAUUAUGUUUCAAAGUGAAUGUAUACCCAGCUAUAAAAUGUGUUCUUCAUGGAUCAGUGUCAGUUUAAAAGGAGAACAAUUUUUGGCCUCUUCUACACCUGAUUAUCAUUUAUCAACCACUGACUGCUGAGUUGCUCGGAGAAGAGGAAAAUAUGAGCACACAAGAAGAAUAAAAAACUCUGGUUUUCAGAGGUUGGUAAUUCGAUGGCACUAUGUUUAUUCAACUAACUUUUUCCUCUCCUCCUCGGUAAUGCUCCAUGGAAAGGUGGUCUUAUUACCGUCCAUUUAUUGUUAGUAAGAUACAUUAGCUUUAUGUCAUAUGCCGUACACAUUUGGCAUCCGUUAACAAUAGAUCUUUGCAUUCUAACCCUCUAUUCAGGUUGAGCGACAGCUCUACCAGAUGCUUUUAGAAGAAAGAUUAAAGCUUGCAACAAGUGUUGGAACUGCUCCAUAUGCCAUAUGUGGCGAUCAAACAAUCAAAAAAAUUACUCUUAUAAGACCAUCUACAAAAGCAAGGCUAGCAAACAUUGAUGGUGUGAAUCAGCACCUAGUAACAACAUAUGGAGAUCAUUUUCUUAGAGUUAUCCAGCAACUGUCACAAGGAUUAAACUUAUCAUUGGACGGGGAAGCUAAUUUACUAAAUAACGAAGUAAGGAAAUUAUCUACAGUGUCAGUUCAAAGAAGUUGACACCAGCAAAGUUUGAAGCAUGGAAAAUGUGGCAUGAAGAUGGUCUUUCUAUUCAGAUGAUUGCUAACUUUCCAGGUAGAUCAGCUCCUAUAAAAGAGCAAACUGUUGCUGAAUAUCUGUUGGAAGCUGCACAAGAAGGAUUACCUUUUGAUUGGAGUAGAUUCUGCGAGGUGAUAGGACUGACUCAAGAGAUCGAAUCUGAAAUUCAGGGUGCUAUUUUAAAGGUUGCAUCUAAAGAUAAGCUGAAGCCUAUAAAAAAUGAAUUGCCAGAAAAUCACAUCAAGACUUAUUUGACAAUGCAAAGCUGUGGUGUAUCGAAAGAUGACAUCCAGACUCAGAAAGACAGGGAAUCGGAAAUACAGCAAGUGGAAACGCAUUGUGAAGCCAACAUUUCUGAGCACAGCUUGAUGGAAAAAUGUGACUUGGAAAUGGAUAAAGUACCAUCUAACAGUUAGUGACAUGAAGGAAAUAAAUUCAACUGACUUCAAAGCUACUGAGAAUUCUAUAUUAGAGUGGCUAAAGCACCAUGAUGAAGGGGUUAGUCAAAACUCUAAACGUGUCUUUGCUUUGUGGUUGCAAUUCUAAAAAGGUUUUGUUUAUUGGUGAAAUUCAAGGGCACUUCAACGGGUCUGGCGAAGAUUGUUGGAAAGUGACUUUUUUAAUUUAUAAAAAAGGUGGCAUGUAUAGGGUCCUGUAAUUAAGUAGAUUGUGUGAUUGAACUACUGAAUUUCAACGGCCAACUGCAUCUUUGCGACUUUGCCAAAAGGAUAAUGGUCUUACAUGAUCUUUCCACACCCAGGUAGAUUUUAUCGGAGAUAACUCUUUGAACACAAACUAUAGGUACUUCUCUUGACUAGUAUUUGAACCAUGGUAAAUCCGGUUGUGGGAACUUAA